rnacentral:rRNA from 1 species
CCUACGGGAGGCAGCAGUGAGGAAUAUUGGUCAAUGGGCGCGAGCCUGAACCAGCCAAGUAGCGUGAAGGAUGACUGCCCUACGGGUUGUAAACUUCUUUUAUAAAGGAAUAAAGUGAGGCACGUGUGCCUUUUUGUAUGUACUUUAUGAAUAAGGAUCGGCUAACUCCGUGCCAGCAGCCGCGGUAAUACGGAGGAUCCGAGCGUUAUCCGGAUUUAUUGGGGUUAAAGGGAGCGUAGAUGGGUUGUUAAGUCAGUUGUGAAAGUUUGCGGAUUAACCGUAAAAUUGCAAUUGAUACUGGCAGCCUUGAGUACAGUUGAGGUAGGCGGAAUUCGUGGUGUAGCGGUGAAAUGCUUAGAUAUCACGAAGAAUACUGAUUGCGAAGGCAGCUUACUAAACUGCCACUGACAUUGAUGCUCGAAAGUGUGGGUAUCAAACAGGAUUAGAUACCCGAGUAGUC